GUGAAAGUGAUACUUAUCAUUUCUGAGCUUAGGCCUUAAGAAGCGUCGUGCGUUUCCAUUUGCCUCCCUGUGCCUCUGUCAUCACAAUGAGAAGAAUAUGCCCUAACUGGCCCUGAGUCCCCGAAGAAGGAUUAGAGAAACGUGGAGCAGAGCCCCGAGUCUGAAGUGAGAGCUACCCCUAGCUGAUCCAUGAACUGAGCAAGGAAGUUGUUCACACAUGUAUGCCACUGAGACUUUGGCACUGUUCUUCUGUGGCACUAGUUGACCAAAACAGCUUUCUGCAAAUGGGAUGGGAGCAUCGCUAAUGCUCAGUGAUCUGGGAACAUGGCAUUAAUUGAUAAUGAUCAAGAAGACACUCUUUCACCACCAAUAUGAAACCCUGGGGAAGUCAAUUGAAGUGGAAAACUAUAUAUUUUGUGCAGAGGCUUCAAAGAAGGGGAAAUUAUGGUUUCAUUAGAUCAUCCCUCCAUUCUGCAAGCGUAGAGCAGGUCUGUGCAAUUGACUUUUUGAGGCCACUCUGUAAGCCUGCGCUGGGACGCAGUGAGCGCUUACCAUGAAACGGAUCAUUAAUUCUCCUCCUAUUUUGCUGCAUUGAAGCAGAAGAUGAUUAUUAACCUAGCAACAUGGGGAAACAGCUAAGGCUUUCUAAGCCCUUGGGAUGGAGAGACACUGCUAAUUAUGUGUGGCAAUCCGAUUUUUCUUCCUCUUUUAUAAAGGCAACGUUGUCCUCUUCGUCUUUCUAAGUCCUGUGCUGCGGCUAGCAGUGCAGUCUGAUGUAAGAAGGUUUGUGUCCCGCUCAAAGGUCCUUUUUCAUAAUAUUUGGACUAUAUGUAAGUGGGUGGGAUUUUUUCUGUCUUUUGAGGGCAGCCUGGGUUUGAAGAAGGGGCAAGUGAGGAGGGUGAGGGGGGUGCAUAUACGGAGAGUUGCACAGGAGUCGCUGACACAAAGUUGAACUGGGAAUGGAAAGCACUUCAGACACUGCCUCCUUGUUCCUCUGUACCAUCCUUGGGAGAAGCUUUAUGAAUGUGGGUCAACCCAACCAGCUGGGUUACUGGAGAGAGAGCUGAAGCUGGGCUGUAGGCGUGUGGCAUCCGGGGGCCAAGAGCUGCAGUUGUGAAGAACAAAGUCGGGGCAUGUCUGGCCUUCUAGGUAUUCCAGGCCAUGUCCAGUGGCAGGUGUGUCUGCGCUAGGGGACCAGACGUGGGAGAGGAGGCCUUACUUGAGUCUAUUGAGGUAUAAAUCUGGUUUAUUGCACACAUAUGGUAAGGAAUGAAGGAAAGGGGCUGGUGGCCAGUAAGCCAAGGGUUUUGGAGCCACAGAGCAGGGCAAUGACCACAGCAAGAGCAGCUGAGGGCUGGCCUGGCAAGAGAACAGGACAGCGUUCCUGAUUUUCUCUCCACCCUGGUGAGCUUGACUGGGGCAUGGACUGGGGCACGGAUGGUGAAUGAGCUCUUAGAUUCUUUGACCCAUUACGGAAAGGCGGUGGGAUCCUUGGAAAAGGAAAAUAAAUGUUCUUAUAGAAUAAGAAGGCUUGAGCCGUUUGACUUUAAGGAUAGAAGAGAUUUGACCUACUGUUUAAGCCAGGCUGAGUGAAUGAGUCAAGCCGGCUACAGAGACCAUAUCAUAAUGAAGUGCAGCGAAGUCUCUCAACUCCUCAUACUUUGCUAAUGCUGAGAAGUUCUGGAAAUGUCCAUCUGGAAGAACAUAUUCUCAGGAGUCACUGGAGUUAAAGACUGCAGUAGUUAGCUAUUGCUGCAUAACAAAUUACCACGAACGUAGCAGCUUCAAAUCUAUAGUCUACCCUCAUUCUUUGCAGAUUCUGCACCUGCUAAUAUCUUGAGAUAGAGCAAAUAAAAUUUAUUGAGAAUCCUCAAAAACUCAAUACUUGCAGUGCUUUCAUCAUCAUUUGCAGACUUGUGCAGAGUAGCAAAAAAUUCACGUCACCCAGUGUGCACACUCCCAGCUGGGGUUGGACAAGGAUAUUUGUUCCCAACCCUUUCCAGAACCCUAUUCUUAAUUCCAAAUUCAGUGAGAGGCAAUCAAUUCUAUGCAGACGCUGAGCAUUCGCAGCAUCGCAGCCUGAUCAAAGUGUGUCUGGUACUGGUCCAGGAAGAAAACACAGCAAAUAGCCCUGGAAAACAAGGAGCUUUAGCUUGAGGGUCCAGCGCCCCUCCCCCAGCUUUCAUCCCCGCUCAACCUCAGAGAUGAGCAAAUACAGCUUCAGAAGGGGCCGACCACUAAAAGGAGGACCACUGCAACAGGUGGAAUAAUUUCUAAACUCCUGUUGUCCUUCUUUGUUUGGAUAACUCCAUCCUUUUUCUCAGUCUAUCUGAAGGAGAUUGAACCGUGCCAUUAUUUAGUCUUAUUUUCUUUGGGACCUGGAAGGCAGCCUUGCUAUCAUUUACCUAGUUUUCAGCCAUGUGGACACAAAUCAAAACUCUAUCAGGAAAGUAAUAGGUGUCACUUGUCCCUGUUUUGAGGACUGAUGGAGGCUCAGCAGUCAUCCUGCCACAAGGAAUUGAAGGAAGUCAAUCUCUGUUUCAUUGUCCUGAAGCUAUUUCUCACCGAAGGGACGCUGGAUUUUUACCCACUUCGAUUAAUGAAAGAAACUUCUAGUUCUGGCACUCUUUGUUAGGAGGAAAGAUAAAUAAGGAAAGGAUUUACCUACAACCCGGCCUCGUGAUGAAAUAAUGAAUGGUCAGUGCCAGGAGGUUUUAGAAAGCAGGGUUCUUCCUUCUUCUCUCAAGUGGUCCAGAUGUUGGAACCUCACCUCUGGGAGGACGUGUUCCAAAGCACAUCCAGGUCUCCCAGUGGGAUCACGUGGAAACUUCAGUGGGCCCUGCUGUAUUCUAAGUGGGGGUGUCACUCUGAGGUUGUCAAAUCUCCCAGGGAACCAUGGGGUGAUGGUCUCUAUGCAUCCCGCCUGACGUGUGGUGGGCAUGAAUGCUGCCUUGUGUGGUACGGCAUAUUUGGUUUGCUUCCUAGCAGUGUUUAUCUGGCUUGUUUUUUUGUCCUUGGGAGUUUUGCUAAGAAUGGUGAUGAGUGGACAGUCAACAAUCCCGGAAUCUGGGUUAGAUAAACUCCAUGACUUGGACAGCUUCUACAAGUCUUCUCAAAAAGGGUCUUACGGCCUCAGAAAAUGAGCUUGAAAUGUAUUUUGGUCUCACUCAAAAGAAAUCCCCAAUUCUGCAGCUCUUUUUGUGACAAUAUCUUGCUAGCAGAGAGCACCCUUAGGACAGGACCUUCCUGGGAUGGCUCCCUUGUCCUCGUGCUCAGAAAGAAGUGGACAGCAAGUUGGGGUCAGUGAUCGCCUCUAUUCCGGGCUGUGGAUGAAGCAUUCUUCUCUGAGAGCCAAGAGGAGCCCUGUCUCAGAUCUUCACCAGGAGAACCUGGUGGGGUUCCUGCCGGUAAACCCCACAAAAGCGUGAGAGCGCCUGAAGACGCCACCUCAGGGGUUUCUCUCGUGGUGGAACGCACUCAACCUCCAGAAAUUCACCCCGGUCCCCAGCGGCGUGUCCUGCCGGCUCACGGCUCCCGCCGCUUCUACUCCAGGUGCGCUGAUCUCAGCUUUGGCCCUCUGGAGUCUCCUGUUUCUCCAGAUUUGGGGCUGGCGGUUGGCCCUGCAACCUCAGUUCUCUGGUCUCUAGUUUCUACUGGAGGAGGGUCAUUCUGUCCACUUCCUGCUCACGACUUUCAGAAGCAGAAGUCUGGACCUUUCCUAUUGGCUGUUCUAACUUUAUUUACCGGAACACUAAAGCCCUGAGCUAACAUCUGCUGCCAAUCCUCC
ensembl:lncRNA